AACAAAAGAAGCUUGAUUGCAUCAUUGUGGUAGUUUUUCCUCAAGCUUUACAACAUGAAAAAUCAUUUAUCCGCAGUUAUUUUCUCAAAUAAUUGUGACAAAAGUGAUGAAAAUCGUUCGGUCUUUGUGUGGAUUGCAUAAGUCAGGAGCCAGUUAACAUUUCCAAGACGCAUGGUGGCUUUUCCGAGAGGUUUUGCAACAUGAAAAAUCUGUGAUCAUCGGUUAUUUUCUCAAAUAACUGAGAAAAAGUGACAAUUGUUCGGCGAUUCUCCGGCUUGUAGAAAUUAGAAGCAGUUUGAAAUGUUUUCAAAACUUCUGAUUUUUUGACCACUAAAGAGUAAAGAAACAAUACAUAAAGUAUUGUAAAACAAAAACAUUCACCGCAAAAUCAAACCUAUUCUUUCAAAUAAAAUAGUAACUCCAGUGACUAGUGCGUGUUGUGGUUUUCCAGAGCUUGACAAACAUUCAGUGGUGCGCGAUUUUUAAAAUUUCGAGUAAUUAGUGUGCCCAUAGAAAGGAUCUUCAAAGAAAAAGGACGAAAUUAUCGUGCCACAAGGAACUGGAUUAAAGGGUUAGUUGGCUAAUUCUAAUUUAUGAGAGUUUUCUCGUUUCUAAGCAAGGAAUCGUACGAAAUAAGCCGUUUUCAACCAAACUGGAGCAUAAAUCAUUAUUUCCUGCCAGAAUUAGCUGUUUUCAAAGGGUUUUCAGUGUUAAGCAAAAAGUUGUGUAUAAUGGAUCGUUUUCUUUCAAACUACUGCUAGAUCUAUUCUAAGAAGAAGAAGAAGAAGAAGGGUCGACAAAAAUGGGACAGGGUGAGUAAAUUUUAUUUUUUUCUUUGCUUAUCUUACAAGUGUGGUGUGUGAUUUGAAAGUGCAGUGUUUUUCAUGACGCAGUUAGGUAAGUAAUAUGUCUUAAAAUAUGAGGUAAAGUUAAUAACUGUGUUGUAGAUGAGGGACGUAUUAUUUUUCUGAACAUCUAUUAAAAAAUUUUAGAUGACGAGGACACAUUUUGUAUGUUUAUAGGAAACUUCCAAACUUUUAAUUAUUAACGAAACAUUAUCUUCUGGCAUCAAAAUCAAGAAGUAUUAUAACCAAAGUGCCCGCAAGUGCGUGUUGUGAAUUUUUUCAGUGUUUAACUGACAUUCAGUUGUGCGCGUUUUUUCAAAUUUCGAGUGACGAAAGUACCAGUGAAAUGGAUCUUCAAGGACAUCGGACGAAAUAAUCGUGUUAGGAGGAUCCGGAUUAAAGGUAGGUCUACUUUAAGAAGAAGACGAGACGAGUAUUCCACAGGGUGAGUUAAUUUGAUUUUUUUCUUUGCUUUUCUUACAAGUGAGGUGUGUGAAUAUGUGAUUUGCAAGUGCAAUAUUUUUUAUGACCCAGUUAGGUAAGUAAUAAUAUUUAUUAAAAUAUGAGGUGAAAUUAAUAAUUGUUUUAGAUGAGAAAC